GCCCUGUCCAAUGGGUUGGGGUGGGAAGCUCCAUUUGCACCAACUGAGGACAAUCAGAGGCAGGUAUUCGGCACAGGGUGAUGGCCUCUUCCUCUGACCUUCACUGCCCGAUUCUCUCUCCCUAUGAUCCCACUCCAUUGUCAAGGUCUGGAUUGGCCAAGAAGCUGACUGGUCAAACCUAAACAAGCUAUAUGGGAAGUGAUCUGGUGAACGUUGCUCGAAAGAGACAUGGUAAUUCCAUCGCUGCAGAACCUGAAGGGAGGUCAAUAACAUUGGCCUCAGUUCAGGAAGGAGACAGUUCGUCAAGGCUUCAGCUCUGGGUUGACAGACUUCAAAACUUGUUACAAGUACAACUUCUGCCAGAAGUGCCUUCAGGCAUUACACCAACACCUGGUGCAGUUGAAGAGCCUAUGAUUUGUAUCUUGAAGAUGUAGUACAUGUGGACUUCAGGAAGCAUUUGAUAAGGUGCUACACAAAAAGUUAAUACACAAGCAAAUCAUCCUGACAGGAUCAGAAAUAAUGGGUUUCAACAGGCCCAUUUCAAGAUGCUUUUCCAAUAAAGGCAAGUGAGCCUGAGGCUCUACUCUCGAAAAACAGGAGAUUGGGAGUGAGGCCUCUGAAGAAUGUUGUUCCCAAGCAUGGGGCCCAGCGGUCAGCAACUGUGAUUAAAGCUGUACACUAGUGGUGGUUUGCUUUUGGUUAACCAGCCAGAAUUGUGGUAAAUAAAUGUUGCAUUUAGUAACUUUCCACAUACUUGUCUCAUGUUAACAAUCACAUCCACAAGUAAGCGCUUUGCUCCUUAAGUGUUAUAUAACAUGGGCAAACCUUAGUUACUUGAAGAUUAUAUAUAAACAAUAAAGCACUUGUAAUUAUACUCAGGAAAUCAACUUACACCAUAUCGUCUCGCUCUUUGUUAACAGAACAAUAAAUAAAUCGCUAGAAUGAUACAAGGGUGUGGAGGAUUAAAUUAUGAGAAUUUAUUGCAUAAACCUAGUUUUUAUUUAUGUAUGGAAAAUUGAGGAGUGAUCUGUUGAUUUAAAGUGUUGAAAGGAUUCUCUCGACUGGAUAUGGAGAAACUAUUUUCUCUAAUUGGGAAACUGGGAGUAAUGGAACCCAAUUUUAAACUCAGAGUUGACCACUUAGGAGAGAAAUUAGGAAACAUUGUUUUUCACACAUCAAGUAGACAGAAAUCAGUAAUCCUGUCUCCAAUAGGAUCUGAAUGCAAGGACAAACUAAGCUUUUGAGAUAGGGAUAGCUAGAUUUUUCUUAGGUGUUAUGAUUCCAGCUGAUAUUAUUUCCGAACAAAUCA